AUUGAACGCUGGCGGCAGGCCUAACACAUGCAAGUCGAGCGGGGUUUUCGGACCUAGCGGCGGACGGGUGAGUAAUGCGUAGGAAGCUACCCGAUAGAGGGGGAUACCAGUUGGAAACGACUGUUAAUACCGCAUAAUGUCUACGGACCAAAGUGUGGGACCUUCGGGCCACAUGCUAUCGGAUGCGCCUACGUGGGAUUAGCUAGUUGGUGAGGUAGUGGCUCACCAAGGCGACGAUCCCUAGCUGGUUUGAGAGGAUGAUCAGCCACACUGGAACUGAGACACGGUCCAGACUCCUACGGGAGGCAGCAGUGGGGAAUACUGGACAAUGGGCGCAAGCCUGAUCCAGCCAUGCCGCGUGUGUGAAGAAGGCCUUCGGGUUGUAAAGCACUUUCAGUAGGGAGGAAGCGUUGUGUGUUAAUAGUACACAGCGUUGACGUUACCUACAGAAGAAGCACCGGCUAACUCUGUGCCAGCCGCCGCCGUAAGAC
rnacentral:rRNA from 1 species